UACGUAGGUGACCAGCGUUGUCCGGAUUUACUGGGCGUAAAGAGCGCGCAGGCGGUCGUUCAAGUCGAGUGUGAAAGCCCCCGGCUCAACUGGGGAGGGUCAUUCGAUACUGAUCGACUCGAAGGCAGGAGAGGGAAGCGGAAUUCCCGGUGUAGUGGUGAAAUGCGUAGAUAUCGGGAGGAACACCAGUAGCGAAGGCGGCACUCUGGGCCGGUACUGACGCUGAGGAGCGAAAGCGUGGGGAGCGAACAGG
rnacentral:rRNA from 1 species